rnacentral:tRNA from 1 species
GAAACAUUAGCUUAGUUGGAAAAGCGUACGACUUCGAAUCGUAAGAUCAAGAGAUCGAAACUCUUAUGUUUCA